GAUGAACGCUGGCGGCGUGCCUAAUACAUGCAAGUCGAACGCUGGAGCUCUAGCUUGCUAGAUCGAAGGAGUGGCGAACGGGUGAGUAAUACAUAAGCAACCUACCCACGAAGUCUGGGAUAAUCUCUGGAAACGGGGACUAAUACCGGCCAGGUAAUCGGAAGGCAUCUUCUGGUUAUUAAAUGGUAAAAACCCUGGUGGAUGGGCUUAUGGGGCAUUGGUUAGUUGGUGAGGUAACGGCCCAGCAAGACGAUGAUGCGUAGCCGGCCUGAGGGGGUGAACGGCCACAUUGGGACUGAGACACGGCCCAGAAUCCUACGGGAGGCAGCAGUAGGGAAUUUUCGGCAAUGGGGGCAACCCUGACCGAGCAACGCCGCGGGAGUGAAGACGGCCUUCGGGUUGUAAAGCUCUGUUGUAAGGGAAGAACGGUAGAUAGAGAAUAUCUAAGUGACGGUACCUUACCAGAAAGCCACGGCUAACUACGUG
rnacentral:rRNA from 1 species